AGUGAGAUGGCCGAGUUGGUUAUGGCGCCAGAUUAAGGUCAGCCUUAACACCAAUUUCCUGGUGGAACAAUCCUCCUGGGCUCGAGUCCCAGUCUCAUCA
rnacentral:tRNA from 1 species